rnacentral:rRNA from 1 species
UACGUAGGCAGCGAGCGUUGUUCGGAGUUACUGGGCGUAAAGGGUGUGUAGGCGGUUCUUUAAGUUUUGUGGGAAAUCUCCCGGCUCAACCGGGAGGGUGCGCCGAAUACUGAGGGACUUGGAGUGCGGGAGAGGAAAGUGGAAUUCCUGGUGUAGCGGUGAAAUGCGUAGAUAUCAGGAGGAACACCGGUGGUGUAGACGGCUUUCUGGACCGUAACUGACGCUGAGACACGAAAGCGUGGGUAGCAAACAGG